UGAGGAAUAUUGGUCAAUGGACGCAAGUCUGAACCAGCCAUGCCGCGUGAAGGAUGAAGGCCUUCUGGGUUGUAAACUUCUUUUAUCUGGGAAGAAACCUCCGAUUUCUAUUGGAGUUGACGGUACCAGAGGAAUAAGCACCGGCUAACUCCGUGCCAGCAGCCGCGGUAAUACGGAGGGUGCAAGCGUUAUCCGGAUUUACUGGGUUUAAAGGGUGUGUAGGCGGGCUAUUAAGUCAGUGGUGAAAUCUCCGAGCUUAACUUGGAAACUGCCAUUGAUACUAUUAGUCUUGAAUUUUGUUGAGGUAGGCGGAAUAAGUCAUGUAGCGGUGAAAUGCUUAGAUAUGACUUAGAACACCAAUUGCGAAGGCAGCUUGCUAAACAAACAUUGACGCUGAGGCACGAAAGCGUGGGGAUCAAACAG
rnacentral:rRNA from 1 species